UACGUAGGGUGCGAGCGUUGUCCGGAAUUAUUGGGCGUAAAGAGCUCGUAGGCGGUGUGUCACGUCGGCCGUGAAAACCUGCAGCUUAACUGUGGGCGUGCGGUCGAUACGGGCAUCACUGGAGUUCGGCAGGGGAGACUGGAAUUCCUGGUGUAGCGGUGAAAUGCGCAGAUAUCAGGAGGAACACCGGUGGCGAAGGCAGUUCUCUGGGCCGUAACUGACGCUGAGGAGCGAAAGCGUGGGGAGCGAACAGG
rnacentral:rRNA from 1 species